rnacentral:rRNA from 1 species
CUACGGGCUGCAGCAGUGAGGAAUAUUGCACAAUGGGGGGAACCCUGAUGCAGCAACGCCGCGUGGAGGAUGACGCAUUUCGGUGUGUAAACUCCUUUUAUAUGUCAAGAAAAUGACGGUAGCAUAUGAAUAAGCACCGGCUAACUCACGUGCCAGCAGCCGCGGUAAUACGGAGGGUGCAAGCGUUACUCGGAAUCACUGGGCGUAAAGGACGCGUAGGCGGGUUGGAAAGUCAGGUGUGAAAUCCUACAGCUUAACUGUAGAACUGCACUUGAAACUUCUAAUCUAGAGUAUGGGAGGGGGAGAUGGAAUUAGUGGUGUAGGGGUAAAAUCCGUAGAUAUCACUAGGAAUACCUAAAGCGAAGGCGAUCUCCUGGAACAUUACCGACGCUAAGGCGUGAAAGCGUGGGGAGCAAACAGGAUUAGAUACCCCAGUAGUC